UCAGACAAACAAAUAAAAAAGUACGAAAAUCAGAUCGUAGUGUAUCGUCUCUCUUGAUAGCACGUGUUGAGACACUCUUGGUGAAAUUUAAGAGAAUUCACAACUUCAUCAACAUCAAUAAUUUCAAGUUUUACUUGUGCUGGUAUCAACCCUGUCAUCUGCAACAUUCUCUGUGUCGUUGACAUGCCUGUAGGUAAACAGUAUCCCAUUUGAUUGGAGCAUCCACUUACGUCAGACAACUUGUCUCAUCUUUCUUUUCCUUCAAUCUUUUGCGUCUUCGUGUACAGCCAUGUGAAUGUGGAUGUAUUCACGAGGACGCCCUUUUUCCAAUACCGCCUGAGGCCUGACGUAUUCAACUUUUCUGCGGAUGGAGCAGUUGCCAGUUGGAGAUGCUUGGCUGUAUUUCCCAGGCUGCAAGGUCGGCGACGCCUCCCGACGUCAAAAUCAACAAUGAAAGAUCAAACGUUUGAUGUCAACCGGAAGCUAUUAAGAGCGUUUUGCAAAUAAUGGAUAGUAAUUCUAUUAGUUCACCUUGGUAGCCAACGUGAUAUUUCUUUCAUUUCAGUUGUGUUUCAUCUUAUCCAAAAUUUACUUGACUUGAUUGCACAAGGGCUUGUUCGCUUGUAACACCAAUCCACAAUUUUCGUUUAAUCAAAAAUAGAUUCAUGUAAUCUUAUUCUGAUGUUAGAUGAAUAUGUUUAAGUUUGAUUUUUAUCUUGGCGUUAACGAUUAAUGAUGGUUGAUAACUCAAAGUUCAUAGAUUCUUGCAUCAUUCGGAGCAACACCUUACCAAUUUUAUUUCUAGUUGAAUUGGUUGAGUUCACCUAUUCUCUAUCUAUUUUUAAGUUUGUUUCUACCUUUCCGUCGCUCCCUUUUAAUACCACACUCCAAUCCUUACUGAUGCUUUCCACCCCUUUUUACUGUAUUUUGUUGAAAAUAAUUGAUCAUUGCGAUACAUGAUGGAACUUUAGUAACUUAGUCUACUAUGUACAUUGUGCACUCGUCUAAAUUUACGCCAAUCAAUUUUCUGUUGUGACCAUGUUGUGCUUCGUGAACUCGGUGAUCUUUUUUUGAAGACUACAGUAUUUUAUUUAUCGUUUUAUUAUUACUUCCGUCCUAUUCCAUCUCUUGAUGCCCUACAUUGCUACACAAUGAAGAAAAUCAAGAGAGCGCGUGAUCAAGUGAGGGACAAAAUUCCAUUCACGUGGCUAAUGAGCACUAAGCAACAACAUUACAUUCUAUUGAGAAGGUACUUAUCAUCCCUGCAUUUCACUACCCUUUGGCAAUUUUUCCUUUUUCACCAGAUACCGCCCAUGGUAAAGUUCGACAGCACGACGUCUUCGCGGGGCUCUUUAAAUACUGCAUUCAAGACGGCAACUUCGACAUGAAUGGGCCAGUUGUCUACUAAUAAAACUACCCACAGUCACUGGAUCCAAAUUACAAGAGUUCUACAAGGCACAAGCUUUGCUUCUCAAGUAAUAAGAGUCCAACAAAAGUUUAAUUACAGCACACAAGGAUGUAGCACGAAUUGACUAUUUAUAUAGGACUGAAGUGAUAAAAUUGCUGGUGAGAGAAAUAAAAGGCAAAGACCGAAGGCCCUGUGCACGACAACUAGAUAUGCGGAUCGAUUUCUAGUUUUCCCCUGCAAUCUUUAAGCAUUAGGAACUACGGUUUGUGUCAUACUGCAUGAAUCCAACAACGAACAGAUGGGUAAAAGUCAUAUCCGGGAUUCUGGCUAGUGAGGCUGACGCGCCUUGAAAGCUAGGGACAACGUUACCAUGAUCAAGCUUAUGCUCAGUGAUUUCAUUGAGAUCACUGUCAAACAGAGUACAUAUCGAUUGACGAUUGGGUUUCGCUCCUCUCAUCCAAUAUACAUUAUAAAGUUGGCUGGAGAACCAUCGAUCUCUUUCGACUUUUCUAUGCACACGGCUCUCUGCGGAAUUGGAGUAUCCUAUAUUGGGCAAUGUAAACGUCUUUCUAACUAGACCUUUAAAUUUGCUAUUCAACCUACACUUCUCUGAUAUUCGGCUGUGUCUGUUCUUCUAUAGAAACAAAUAAAAUCAGACGGCACAUUAAAAACUUUCCCCACUACCUAUUUGCUAUUUUAAGUAAGAAAUGCUCGUAUAAAACAUAUUGAAGCAAUGUCUAAUUAAUGAUGCCUCACGUCUAUUG
rnacentral:lncRNA from 1 species